rnacentral:tRNA from 1 species
GCUGUGGCUCAGUGGCAAAGCACUUGCUUUGCAUGUGGAAGGCCCCACGUUCAAUCCCUGACAUCUCCA